GUGGCUUAGUGGUAAAGGAUCUGCUUGCCAAGCAGAAGACACAGGUUCAAUUCCUGGGUC
rfam:TPA: Bos taurus chromosome X, whole genome shotgun sequence.